rnacentral:ncRNA from 2 species
AAAUGAAAAAGGCAAACCUGCCGAAAGACAGGGACGCAAAGCCACGGGCCUAAGACGUAUGUUAAGGCAGCCGGGUUGCCAUG